rnacentral:rRNA from 1 species
AAUCAACGCUGGCGGCGUGCCUCAGACAUGCAAGUCGAACGAUUAAACUUUCCUUCGGGAAAGAUAUAAAGUGGCGCACGGGUGAGUAACACGUAAGUAAUCUGCCUUCGAGUGGGGAAUACCUUCGGGAAACCGAAGAUAAUACCGCAUAAUGCAGCGGCACCGCAAGGUGACAGUUGUUAAAGGAGCAAUCCGCUUGAAGAGGAGCUUGCGGCAGAUUAGCUAGUUGGUAAGGAAUGGCUUACCAAGGCUACGAUCUGUAACCGACCUGAGAGGGUGGUCGGUCACACUGACACUGAAUAACGGGUCAGACUCCUACGGGAGGGCAGCAGUCGGGAAUUUUGGGCAAUGGGCGAAAGCCUGACCCAGCAACGCCGCGUGAAGGACGAAGUCUUUC